GUUAGUCGCUUAGCGAGCGAAACCCUUGUCUCUAGUUGCCAGCGAGUAAAGUCGGGGACUCUAGAGAGACCGCCGGUGUUAAACCGAGAAGGAAGGUGGGGAUGACGUCAAGUCCUCAUGGCCCUUAUGGCUAGGGCUGCACACGUCCUACAAUGGCACGCACAAAGGGAUGCAAACUCGCGAGAGCAAGCAAAUCCCAAAAAUCGUGCCCUAGUUCGGAUUGCAGGCUGCAACUCGCCUGCAUGAAGCUGGAAUCGCUAGUAAUCGCGGGUCAGCAUACCGCGGUGAAUGUGUUCCUGAGCCUUGUACACA
rnacentral:rRNA from 1 species